UACGGGGGGGGCAAGCGUUGUUCGGAAUUACUGGGCGUAAAGCGUGCGUAGACGGUUAUUUAAGUCAGGUGUGAAAGCCCCGGGCUCAACCUGGGAAUUGCAUUUGAGACUGAAUAGCUAGGGUGCGGAAGAGGGAAGCGGAAUUUCCGGUGUAGCGGUGAAAUGCGUAGAUAUCGGAAGGAACACCAGUGGCGAAAGCGGCUUCCUGGUCCAGCACCGACGUUCAGGCACGAAAGCGUGGGGAGCAAACAGG
rnacentral:rRNA from 1 species